UUCACUUGUCAUUAAAGUGAUGCUGGAUGAACUAAGAUUAUUUUCUUUACACUUCCCUCCAUUGUUGUGAUCAGAAGUUUGGGAUGAAAUAUAUUCUGGCAUAUUACUCAAUUCCCUGGUAGUAGAAUCGAGCAUGUUCACCAUUUCACUAAUUUCAGACUCGUCCCUAGCACACACUAAUACAUUUUCCUGACUUCCUAAUUCUGAACUUCUGUUGUGCGGUUCAUCAGCUUGCUCGGAUAUUUCAAGGUGCCUCGUAUCAUCUUUCUCCUCUGUGAAGAUCAUAGAGACAGUUUGAUUAUUAAGAUAAGCGUAACUAGCUUCACCAAGUUCCUCAUAAGAACUUCUGGAAUCUUUAUCAAGUUCACUGCUUUCUGCAAAUUCAGCAGGGUGGUUGCAAAUACCCAGUUCUUGCCCGGUUGGGCCACAAUCACUAACUUCUGCAGUUAACUUUUCCUCAUUAACGGUAGAUCCAUCAGCAACAACAGAAUUCACAUAAUUGCUUACUUCUAGCUUUUCUU
rnacentral:lncRNA from 1 species